rnacentral:lncRNA from 1 species
UUUUUUUUAAGUGAAAAAUAGUAAUCUUACAUAUGUUUAAUGUAGUUUUUCCAUUUUUUAUGCUGUAUGUUUACAUAUUUUUUAUAAAUUUUCGAAAAUAAGUAAUAUUAAAAUGUAAAACUAUAUUUUAUGUCACGUGUCAUCUUUCGGGAUUAUAUUAUAUAUUUACUUAUUAUUUAUUUUUCUUUAUAUUGUGUAUUUCUAUUUCUUAUACUUUCUAUUUACUAAUAAUUUUAUAUUUUAAGAUUGAUUUUCAUUUUAAGAUAGAUGUUUAAAUACUAAAGUAUUUUUUCCAUUUUUUUAAAUUGUGUAUUUCCUUUUCUUAUACUUUCUAUUUGCGUAAUAUCUAUAUUUUACAUUUUAAGAUAGAUGUUUAAAUCUUAAUAUACUUUUUCCAUUGUUUUUAAGUUGUGUAUUUCAUUUUCUUAUACUUUAUAUUUACUUAAUAUCUAUAUUUUACAUUUUAAUAUAGAUGUUUAAUAUUUAAUGUACUCUUUCCAUUUUUUUAAAAUUGUGCAUUUACUUACUAUUGUAUAUAUAAUUCGUAUAUUUAUAUAUUUAUAAUAUUUACUUAUUAUAUAUUUUUUAUAUAUUGAGUAUUUCUCUUUCUUAUACUUUAUAUCUAGUUAAUGUCUAUAUUUUAUAUUUUAAGAUAGAUGUUUAAAUCUUUACGUAUUUUUCCAUUUUUAAUGUAAAACGGCAAUGUUUAAUAGAAGAACUUGGACAAAUAGUCAAAUAGUUAUAUUUAUGUUUUUUUUCUUUUUUUUAUAAAAUGGUAAUGUUACAUUAUGAAGAUAAACCGUUUUUUUAGUGAACAAUGGUAAUCUUACAUAUGUUUAAUGUAAAGUUUCCAUUUUUUUAUGUUGUAUGUUUACAUAUUAUUGUUAUUUUUAAAUGUAAAAUGGUAAUCUUACAUAUGUUUAAUGUAGUAUUUUCAUUUUUAUGUUGUAUGUUUUACAUAUAUUUAUUAUUUUUGAAAUUAUAUAUAAUUUUUUUUGUUUUUUUUAUAAAACACUAAUGUUACAUUAUGGAGAUAAGCCGUCUUUUUUUUAAGUGAAAAAUAAUAAUCUUACAUAUGUUUAAUGUAGUUUUUCUAUUUUUUAUGCUGUAUGUUUACAUAUUUUUUACAAUUUUCGAAAAUAAGUAAUAUUAAAAUGUAAAACUAUAUUUAUGCCACGUGUCAUCUUUCGGGAGAAAUUUUUUCCGCUGAUGUGGACACCCUAUGGAGCCUCAUAUGUUUAAUGUAGUAUUUCCAUUUUUAUGUUGUAUGUUUUACAUAUAUUUAUUAUUUUUGAAAUUAUAUAUAAUGUUUUUUGUUUUUUUUAUAAAACGGUAAUGUUACAUUAUGGAGAUAAGCCGUUUUUUUUUUAAGUGAAAAAUAGUAAUGUUACAUAUGUUUAAUGUAGUUUUUCCAUUUUUUAUGCUGUAUGUUUACAUAUUUUUCCCUAUGGAGCCUCAUAUGUUUAAUGUAGUAUUUCUAUUUUUAUGUUGCAUGUUUUACAUAUAUUUAUUAUUUUUGAAAUUAUAUAUAAUGUUUUUUGUUUUUUUUUUAUAAAACGGUAAUGUUACAUUAUGGAGAUAAGCCGUCUUUUUUUUAAGUGAAAAAUAGUAAUCAUACAUAUGUUUAAUGUAGUUUUUCCAUUUUUUUAUGCUGUAUGUUUACAUAUUUUUUACAAUUUUCAAAAAUAAGUAAUAUUAAAAGGGCAAAUCUUCAAAAUAGCACCUUUUUAAGUUUAUAUCACAAAAAUAGCACUCAAAAACUAAAAUGACCAAAAUAGCAUUUUAUCUUUUGAAAAAUUUAAAUUUUUUUAUUUUUCAAAAUUUGAAAUCUUAUCCCCAAAACCUCACUUCUCAACUCUAAACCCUAAAACCUAAACUCUAAACCCUAAAUUCUAAACCCUAAACCCCACCCCUUGAGUGCUAUUUUUGUGACUUUUGGCCUUGAGUGCUAGUUUGGGAACAAAAACUUGAGUUAGUGCUAUUUUGGUAUUUUUCUCAUAUUAAAAUGUAAAACUAUAUUUAAUGCCACGUGUCAUCUUUCGGGAGAAAUUUUUUCCGGUGAUGUGGACACCCUAUGGAGCCUCAAAAGCUCCCUUUUAUUAGUAGAGAUUCUGCUGUCCGGCCCAUCUUUAUAAGUUUUUUUUUCU